rnacentral:rRNA from 1 species
GAUGAACGCUGGCGGCGUGCCUAAUACAUGCAAGUCGAGCGAACAGAUGAGGAGCUUGCUCCUCUGACGUUAGCGGCGGACGGGUGAGUAACACGUGGAUAACCUACCUAUAAGACUGGGAUAACUUCGGGAAACCGGAGCUAAUACCGGAUAAUAUAUUGAACCGCAUGGUUCAAUAGUGAAAGACGGUUUUGCUGUCACUUAUAGAUGGAUCCGCGCCGCAUUUGCUAGUUGGUAAGGUAACGGCUUACCAAGGCAACGAUGCGUAGCCGACCUGAGAGGGUGAUCGGCCACACUGGAACUGAGACACGGUCCAGACUCCUACGGGAGGCAGCAGUAGGGAAUCUUCCGCAAUGGGCGAAAGCUUGACGGAGCAACGCCGCGUGAGUGAUGAAGGUCUUCGGAUCGUAAAACUCUGUUAUUAGGGAAGAACAAAUGUGUAAGUAACUAUGCACGUCUUGACGGUACCUAAUCAGAAAGCCACGGCUAACUACGUG